GUGGACGAACCUCUGGUGUUCCGGUUGUCACGCCAGUGGCAUUGCCGGGUAGCUAAGUUCGGACAGGAUAACCGCUGAAAGCAUCUAAGCGGGAAGCCCCUCCCAAGAUUAGAUCUCACUGGAGCCUUGAGCUCCCUAAAGGUCCGUCGAAGACUACGACGUUGAUAGGCUGGGUGUGGAAGCGCAGUAAUGUGUGAAGCUAACCAGUACUAAUUGACCGUGAGGCUUGACCAU
rnacentral:rRNA from 1 species